rnacentral:rRNA from 1 species
UACAGAGGGUGCGAGCGUUUAAUCGGAAUUACUGGGCGUAAAGCGUGCGUAGACGGUUAUGUAAGUCGGAUGUGAAAGCCCCGGGCUUAACCUGGGAAUUGCAUUCGAGACUGCAUAGCUAGGAUGCGGAAGAGGGAAGUGGAAUUUCCGGUGUAGCGGUGAAAUGCGUAGAUAUCUGGAGGAACACCGGUGGCGAAGGCGGCAUCCUGGACCGAUACUGACGCUGAGGAGCGAAAGCCAGGGGAGCAAACGGG